AGAGGGUGAAACUCCCGUCCGCCUGGUAGAAUGAGUCUUUGUCAACGAGUCGAGUUGUUUGGGAUUGCAGCUCUAAUUUGGUGGUAAAUUCCAUCUAAAGCUAAAUAUUGGUGGGAGACCGAUAGCGAACAAGUACCGUGAGGGAAAGAUGAAAAGAACUUUGAAAAGAGAGUUAAACAGUACCUGAAAUUGCUGAAAUGGAACCGAUGGGAGGCAGUGUUUGUUGGUUCAUAUUUCCUUGGCCACUUGUGGUUUGGGCGCUGUGAGCUUGCGUGGGUUUGGGUUGGUUGAUCCCUUUGGAAGAGCGCAGUCAGAGUUGAUGUCU
rnacentral:rRNA from 1 species